rnacentral:misc_RNA from 1 species
UUUCCGUAGGUGAACCUGCGGAAGGAUCAUUAACCUUUCAAAUCAGGGUGCGGCGCGGCCCCCGAGGAGCGGAAACAAUCCUUGGGAGGUAUGCGGGGGCUUCGAGCCCCCCAUUUACGCACGCACGACUGCCAUCCUUACUUUACGAGCACCUUCUGUUCUCCCUCGGCGGGGCAACCUGCCGUUGGAACCGAAUAAACUCUUUUUGCAUCUAGCAUUACCUGUUCCGAAACAAACAAUCGUUACAACUUUCAACAAUGGAUCUCUUGGCUCUGGCAUCGAUGAAGAACGCAGC